UACGUAGGGCGCCAGCGUUAUCCGGAAUUAUUUGGCGUAAAGAGCUCGUAGGCGGUUUGUCGCGUCUGCCGUGAAAGUCCGGGGCUCAACUCCGGAUCUGCGGUGGGUACGGGCAGACUAGAGUGAUGUAGGGGAGACUGGAAUUCCUGGUGUAGCGGUGAAAUGCGCAGAUAUCAGGAGGAACACCGAUGGCGAAGGCAGGUCUCUGGGCAUUAACUGACGCUGAGGAGCGAAAGCAUGGGGAGCGAACAGG
rnacentral:rRNA from 1 species